GACGAACGCUGGCGGCGCGCUUAACACAUGCAAGUCGAACGGAAAGGCCUGCUUUCCCUUGUGGAUUGCGGGUACUCGAGUGGCGAACGGGUGAGUAACACGUGAGUGAUCUGCCCCCAACUUGGGUAUAAGCCUGGGAAACUGGGUCUAAUUCCCGAUAGGACUGCAGGGUGGUGCCUGUGGUGGAAAACGAUUUUCUAGUGGUUGGGGAUGAGCUCGCGGCCUAUCAGCUUGUUGGGGGGGUAAUGGCCUACCAAGGCGGCGACGGGUAGCCGGCCUGAGAGGGUGGACGGCCACAUUGGGACUGAGAUACGGCCCAGACUCCUACGGGAGGCAGCAGUGGGGAAUAUUGCACAAUGGGCGGAAGCCUGAUGCAGCGACGCCGCGUGGGGGAUGACGGCCUUCGGGUUGUAAACUCCUUCCGACCGCGAGGAAGCCACCUGGUUGGAAGGGUGGUGACGGUAGUGGUAGAAGAAGCACCGGCUAACUACGUG
rnacentral:rRNA from 1 species